rnacentral:rRNA from 2 species
UUAGGUUAAGUUAUUAAGGGCGUAUGGUGGAUGCCUUGGCACUAGGAGCCGAUGAAGGACGUGACUAACUGCGAUAUGCUUCGGGGAGUUGUAAGUAAACUAUGAUCCGGAGAUUUCCGAAUGGGGAAACCUAACAGGUUUUACCGCCUGUUAUCACUAAGUGAAUUCAUAGCUUAGUUGAAGGUAGACGUGGGGAACUGAAACAUCUAAGUACCCACAGGAAGAGAAAGAAAUUCGAUUCCCUCAGUAGCGGCGAGCGAACCGGGAAGAGCCCAAACUAAGAAGCUUGCUUCUUAGGGUUGUAGGACUGAACAUUUGAGUUACCAAGAAAUGAAGUAGUUGAAUAAUCUGGGAAGAUUAGCCAAAGAGAGUGAUAGCCUCGUAAGCGAAACUUCGUUUCCUCAGUUCAGGAUCCUGAGUACGGCGGAACACGUGAAACUCCGUCGGAAUCCGGGAGGACCAUCUCCCAAGGCUAAAUACUACCUAGUGACCGAUAGUGAACCAGUACCGUGAGGGAAAGGUGAAAAGCACCCCGGGAGGGGAGUGAAAUAGUUCCUGAAACCAUAUGCCUACAAGUAGUCAGAGCUCGUUAAUGAGUGAUGGCGUGCCUUUUGUAGAAUGAACCGGCGAGUUACGUUAGCGUGCGAGGUUAAGGAGGAAAGUCCGGAGCCGUAGCGAAAGCGAGUCUGAAUAGGGCGAGAUAGUACGUUGACGUAGACCCGAAACCAGGUGACCUACCCAUGUCCAGGUUGAAGGUGCGGUAAAACGCACUGGAGGACCGAACCCGUGUAUGUUGAAAAAUGCUGGGAUGAGGUGUGGGUAGAGGUGAAAUUCCAAACGAACUUGGAGAUAGCUGGUUCUCUCCGAAAUAGCUUUAGGGCUAGCCUCGGAGUUAAGAAUCGUGGAGGUAGAGCACUGUUUGGACUAGGGGCCCGUCUUGGGUUACUGAAUUCAGAUAAACUCCGAAUGCCACAGAUUUAUAUCCGGGAGUCAGACUGCGAGUGAUAAGAUCCGUAGUCGAAAGGGAAACAGCCCAGACCACCGAUUAAGGUCCCAAAAUAUGUGUUAAGUGGAAAAGGAUGUGGAAUUGCAUAGACAACUAGGAUGUUGGCUUAGAAGCAGCCACCAUUUAAAGAGUGCGUAAUAGCUCACUAGUCGAGUGAUCCUGCGCCGAAAAUGUAACGGGGCUAAACACAUUACCGAAAUCGUGGAUGUACCGUAAGGUACAUGGUAGGAGAGCGUUCUAAGGACGGCGAAGCUAGACCGUAAGGACUGGUGGAGUGCUUAGAAGUGAGAAUGCCGGUAUGAGUAGCGAAAGAUCAGUGAGAAUCUGGUCCACCGUAUGACUAAGGUUUCCUGGGGAAGGCUCGUCCUCCCAGGGUUAGUCGGGACCUAAGCCGAGGCCGAGAGGCGUAGGCGAUGGAUAACAGGUUGAGAUUCCUGUACUGGUUAAACUUGUUUGAACAAUGGAGGGACGCAGGAGGCUAUCGAUGCGUACUGUUGGAUAUGUACGUUCAAGCAAUAAGUCUGUAGAUGAGUCAAAUGCUUAUCUACUUAAGGACAAGUUGUGAUGAGGAGCGAAAUUUAGUAGCGAAGUGAGAGACGUCACACUGCCAAGAAAAGCUUCUAGUUAGAGUUUAAUCACCCGUACCGCAAACCGACACAGGUAGUCGAGGCGAGUAGCCUAAGGUGAGCGAGAGAACUCUCGUUAAGGAACUCGGCAAAAUGACCCCGUAACUUCGGGAGAAGGGGUGCUGAGCGCAAGCUCAGCCGCAGUGAAUAGGCCCAGGCGACUGUUUAUCAAAAACACAGGUUUCUGCAAAAUCGUAAGAUGAAGUAUAGGGGCUGACGCCUGCCCGGUG